CGAACCCGCCGGCUUGGGAGAGCUGAACGGUUCAGGAAGACCCGCUGGACGCCGCCUUGGGAGAGGCACCGAAAGCGGUAUUCGUUAAAAGGGGAGAUCGACCGGUGGAGAAUGCGCUUCUCAUCGGAUUGUCGCGGCAGAUGGUGCUGGA
rnacentral:ncRNA from 1 species